rnacentral:rRNA from 1 species
AAUAUAGCGCAAUGGAGGGAACUCUGACGCAGCGACGCCGCGUGAGCGAUGUAGGUCUUCGGAUCGUAAAGCUCUGUCCUUUGGGAAGAAGGUCUUCGGACUUGACGGUACCUAAGGGGGACGCCCCGGCUAAUUACGUGCCAGCAGCCGCGGUAAUACGUAGGGGGCAAGCGUUGUCCGGAAUUAUUGGGCGUAAAGGGUUCGUAGGCGGCCGUUUAAGUCAGAUGUGAAAGCCCACGGCUUAACCGUGGGACUGCAUCUGAAACUGGUGGGCUUGAGUAUCGGAGAGGGUAGUGGAAUUCCCAGUGUAGCGGUGGAAUGCGUAGAUAUUGGGAGGAACACCAGUGGCGAAGGCGACUACCUGGACGAAAACUGACGCUGAGGCAUGAAAGCUAGGGGAGCAAAC